ACAAAGUACAUCAGAAUUAACUUCAUCCGCAACAGAAAUAUCAUCAUCCACUGUAGAGCAAACAACAAGCCAGCAUGCUCAAACAACUGUGUUUAGUUCUACCACAGAAACAGAACCUACAACGACAGCUCAAUCAACAUUUACAACAGCUAUGUCCCCUAUGACCACGACCACUAUUGAAUCAUCUACAAGUGAAAGAACUUCAACACUGGAAACUACAUCAUCCUCAACAGGAACGUCUCCAUCUUCACCUUCUACUGCAACAGAUGGACAAAGUACAUCAGAAUUGAUUUCAUCAACAACAGAAAUGUCUACUUCUAGUGAAGAGCAAACAGCAAGCCAGGGGACACAAACCUCUAUGUUUACUUCUACCAGAGAAACAGAACCUACAAAGACAGCUCAAUCAACAUUUGCAUCAGCUGUUUCUCCUACGAGUAUGUCCACAUUAGAAUCAGGUACAAGUGAAAGUGGAUCAACAUUGCAAACUACUCUGUACACAACAGGUACUUCUACAUCUUCACCAUCUACUUCAACGGAAGGACAAAGUACAUCAGAAUUAACUUCAUCGGCAACAGAAAUAUAUUCAUCGACUGUAGAGCAAACAACAAGCCAGCAGGCUCAAACAACUGUGUUUAGUUCUACCACAGAAACAGAACCUAUAAUGACAGCUCAAUCAACAUUUACAACAGCUAUGUCCCCUUUGACCACAACCACUAUUGAAUCAUCUACAAGUGAAAGAAGUUCAACACUGGAAACUACAUCAUCCUCAAGAGGAAUGUCUCCAUCUUCACCUUCUGCUGCAACAGACGGACAA
ensembl:lncRNA